AUGAUAACCGGUAGAUCGAAGGGCGACCGAUGGUUCUGGUGUAAUUUGGAGACCGGGGCGGAGUGGUUGAAGGGAACCGAUAGAGGAAAUGGAGGAUGCAGUUGGUGCGAGCCGGUGGGUCUUGUGGUGACAACAUCGAAGCCUGGAGUCUUCCGACUGAUUUAUUAUUUUUAUUUUUUGUAUUUUCGUUUCUCUUUCUUUUUCUCCCUUUGUAAUUUUUGUUUCUCCCUCUGUAUCGUUGUCCCCUUACUGUAA